CAAAAAGUAGUUUAUACAAAAUAGUAGUUUUGGAUAUUACAGAAAAGGAAUUCUUUUUGA
rnacentral:tRNA from 1 species